ACCAUGAAUUGAUUUUGCUUCACACUAUCUUGAUCAAGAUAGUGUGAAGCUUUUGAGAAUUUGUAGUUGUCAUCCAUUGAUGAAGCUUUGUUGAAUUUCCCUUUUUUUUUUUUUUUUUUGGGAAACUAGAAAUUUGAAAAUGUGGGAAAGGCAACAUAUACAAAUUUUGCUUCCACACUGCUGAGCAAGAGAUUGUGAUGCAAGCCACACCUUGUAGUAGUCGAAGGUUUGGAUGAACCAUAUAAAUUGAAUUUGCUUCGGACAGUCUUGAAUUUGCUUUGAAGGUUUGAAAAUUGUAGUUGCCCUCCAUUGAUGAAGCUUUUGUUGGCACCAUAAAUUGGUUUUGCUUCACACUGUCUUGAUCAAGAGUGUGUGAAGCUUUUGAGAAUUGUGGUUGAACUCCUUUGAUGAAUCUUUUGUUGGCACCAUAAAUUGGUUUUGUUUCACACUGUCUUGAUCAAGAGUGUGUGAAGUUUUUGAGAAUUGUGGUUGCCCUCCAUUGAUGAAUCUAUUGUUGGCACUAUAAAUUGGUUUUGCUUCACACCGUCUUGAUCAAGAGUGUGUGAAGCUUUUGAGAAUUGUGGUUGAACUCCUUUGAUGAAGCUCUUGUUGGCACCAUAAAUUGGUUUUGCUUCACACUGUCCUGAUCAAGAGUGUGUGAAGCUUUUGAGAAUUGUGGUUGAACUCCUUUGAUGAAGCUCUUAUUGGCACCAUAAAUUGGUUUUGCUUCACACUGUCUUGAUCAAGAGUGUGAAGCUUUCUACGAGUUGUAAUGUUUGCAUUGUUACAGAGGGGAAAUGUCUGAAGCAGAUGCAAGAGGGCUGAAUAGCUUGAUCUUCAUAUCCCAUGCACUGAAGUUGUUGUUGGCUUGCAAUAAGACUUUGUUGGUGACUAUAACACUUGUUGGGCAUAAGUGCUCCCCUAGUUGAGUUGUCAAGCUUGAGGGUUUUUGAUUAUUUGUGAAUGCUAGAAGUAUGCCCACAAAGCCACUCAUUUGAUGUAAUAGCUUUUUGGAAUACUUAUUGUAUUAAACUUUUAUAUGUUUAAUGGAGGGCAAAUCUUAUUGUUAAUCACUAUUUAUUGUAUCAUGUGUUUAAGCAAUAAUGGAAUC
rnacentral:lncRNA from 1 species